GGGGCGGGAACACGCGCCGAGAGUGGUCACGGCCCGUUGCCAGGACGACGGCCUCGCUGCCGGGAGGAGGGCUGCGAAGGGAUGGGAGGCGGCUGCGUCUCGGCUCUCGGGGGGGGGAAUGUGCUCGUGUUUACCUGGAAUUUCCUCUGGCGGCGCGUCCGCGGUCGCCCGAAGAUCUCCGGUUUGUAUUCGGAGAGGCGGAGGAGGGUCUGGAAAAAACGAGCCCUGCUCUCGCGAAGCAAAACAAAACGCUCGCCGUCUUAUUUUCUUAAAACGUCACCGGCAAUCCCCUAAUUGAGGGCACUGACUCAUGGUUUCUAAGCCCGGACCUGCCGGUGCGGUUGUGCGUUGGGCGCUGCCGUUCUGCUGACUGCCGUAUGGGGCACGGGAAGGGCCUCCCUGCCGGCCCGGCAGUUCCGCGGCUGCCGUCGGCGUGGUGCCCAAGGAUUGUGUUUCUGGGGUGGCUGUGAGGAGCGCGGCCCGCGCCCCCCUUCCUGGUGGCAGCCCUGCCCCGGCAGAGGUUGGGGCUGGAUGGCCUUAAGGUCCCUCCCAACCCAAGAGCGCUAUGAUUCUAUUAUUUCACGGGGCGGCUUCUCGCUUCCUGAAGAUACGUUUAAGUUCUCUGUCCUUCCCCUGGUUUUGUGUUUCUGUGAAUUGCUGUGCUUGCUGAAGCAGACGUUGCUCACCGAGCUCUUACGUAAGUUACUAUGAGUACUACAGCAUCCAGGCAGCGCUCCAAGCCGGCGUUCCAGGACCCGCGCGUUCUGAGUUACAGCGGCACUGAGUUGUGCAGUGGUGGCAGCAGCCUGCAGCCACCACAGCUGAAUCGCUGGCUCCACCUGGGCAGUCGCAGCCUCCUUCGCUCUUGCCUUGAAGAAGCUGAGCUGCUGUCGGCGAUUAAAGGUGGUUAACAGACCCCUGGUAGCGUAAGAACCGAAGCCAAUAGUCGUAACGUGGUAGGAACCAAGGAGGGCCAUUCUUAAAAGAAAGGCCACAGCCAUCCUAGACACACAGGAGUAUACAGAGGUAGCUCUGAAAAUAAUGUCUCCUACUUAUUUCCACAGAAACUACAACAGAUGCAAAGAGCAUAAUAACACUACUUGAUAGAGCAAAUACUCAGCUACAAAUCGCUGUUUUUCGAUACAGUCACCGCCAUUAGCUAUGCACUUUUGCCAUGCAAAUAAGAAAUCGGCUCAAAAAUGUACCCGUUCAUUUGCUAAACAAGAAAUUCUAUCCCUUGUUACAGGGAGGUGUAACUUCCAAGUGUAGCUGUGGUCUGCCAGGCUUCAGCGAUGUGCUCAAAGGCAGAUGGGUGUGGAUGCACAGAGGAUGGAGAACUGUCACCUGCUGUAGGGGUGCUCUUUGCACAGUCUUCCUCCAUUUGCUCUUUGGUGUGGGCCAGAAGAGUGACAGUAAAAGCACUGCUGGGCUUUGCACCACUCUUACAGCAAGGGUAGGGCUGAGUUCAUCUGAGAGCGUUUAGCAUCUCCUUUCACAGUUCCUUCUCUAAGUUUUAUGUUGGCCUUUUUUCCUCUGAACUGCAGUAGGAAAAUGAGAUGGGAGACUUUGAGUGGAGUUUCAGUUCUUCUUUAUUAGAGGCACACUCCUUACAGUGGCAGAGCAAGCACAAGCGUGGGGAAUGACUGCCAUGCGUCAGAGAAGGAAGAGAGUUGUGGGCUUUUUGCGUUCUUCCUAUUUUCUGUGCUUUGUGGGAGGAUGGCACAUGUAGUGCUCCUCCUCCUGCUCCCAAGCUCCUCUGCUCUGAUCGUACAAAGGCUUUUCCUACUUAGAAACCCAAUUUUUAAGUCUUUCAAAAGUUUAUUGGAGCCGUGACCUUGCUAAACAUCUGAACUCUUUGCAAUGAGAAUCAAAGGAACCUGUAACCAGAUCAACAGCUCAUACAGCUACCGUGUAACAUAUGUUGUGUAUAUAACAUAUGAUUCAUGUAACAUGAAUAUUCCAGUAAUUAUGUCUCCAGAUCAGAAGCAUAACAUUCUGAAUUCUUAAUAUAAGCAGCAUAAAAUCCCAAACCUUCAAACAUGUUCCAUAAAUGCAGAUAUUGUAUAUUGUAUAAAGACUUCUGCGUCUUUUCUCUGCCUCAGUUGAGUGUUAUUGUAUGAAAUACUGUGCAAUUGCUACAGCUGUGCCCCUAAUUUGUAGAAAACAGUGUCUUCUGAUCACUGGUCAUCAUACUUCAUAGGUACAGACAACUCAGAUGAAGUAUUCCUUCUGAUGAACUGCUGUUUCUUCUCCAUUUAAAAGCUUAAUCUCUCUUUUCUACAGUUAAAUAUGGGUGGUUUCUGUUGUUUCCUUUUUCUUUGCUUGUACGUUCUUUUGGGAGACUGAAUUCAUACCUCGGAGAUUAUAAUGGAGUGUUACAGCUCUAUUAUUUUUGCUUACAGCUGAAGGUUUGGAAACAAAACCACAGAAGCUUAACACACAAGAUGAGCAGGGUUGAGUUUUGUAAGCAUUAAGACCAGCAGACAAGUCACAGUUCAGACUAUCAUCAAAUAGGAAGAACUGACCUAACCUGGGCCUUUCGUUCUUUAAACAGUAUUGUAAUAGAAGAACGAGGAUUAAGCCCUGCUUAAGAAGACGGGUAUUUCACUGGAUACAGCUGCUCAUCUCUUUGCUUGCCCUGGGACUGUUAGUCUCCCUGCCUCGCGUGUGUUUUCCAGCUGCUGCCAUUCACAUUUGCUGCACUUUGUCAGCUUAAACAGCACUGCACGAAGGGUGCCCUACAAACUCUGACUACAACCAGUGAUAGCGCAGUGCAAGGCCUGGCCAGAAGAAAACAUUCACAUACAUUCACAUACAUACGUGGAGCUUCUUCCAUGGGCUCCAGAAUCCCACCAUGACUUCCAGAGAUGUACCUCAGCAGCUGGGAACAUCUGACAGACACCAAUGUGGCCUCUGGCUGAGCUCAUACGUGCUCUCAGGACAUGGUGACCGCAGUUUACUACAGAGCUCUAAGAACAAGCUCAGCCCACUGCAGUGGAUUUAGCUCAUCUUCCCCUAUGGUUUGUAGUUUGUCUUCACAGCCUUUUUCCUCUCCGUACCUUCUCAGGAUCAGUUUCCUCACCGGGUUUCUAGAAGGGCCACAGAUACCAGCAAAGUGCUCCUGUGAACACACAAACAUGCUGCCUUUCUCCUUGGUCACUAAUUCUAAAGCAGUGUGGUUUAAUUCUUCAGAUAAACGCAGCACUCUGAGCAGUAUGGUGGGAGACUGCAUCUCGUACCGUUCGGCAUACGGAAGUAACAGGUAUUGGGCAGCUGUGCCCUGCCUUUAAGCUGGUCAGGACAGGAGAAGCACGGGGCCUCCUGAAACCAUUGGAGACAGGAAAAUCUCCUGUUCAGUGAGAAGUAUUACGGAAAGCAACUGCAUGUUAAGAAGAGAAACCAUGUGUCAGUGGUAGGGUUCUGUAUCUGAUACUGUCUGUAACUAAGUGAGGCACAGGCAGACUGUAUGAAGAGAGAAAUUAAUAUAAUAGUAAUAAAAAAAAUCAUGGAAUACUCUGAGUUGUAAGGAAUGUACAAGGAUCACCGACUCCAACCCCUGUGGCUCCACACAGGGCCACCCAGCAAUCAGACCACACGUGUGAGAGAGGUGCCCGUACACCCCUUGAUUUCCACUGCCCCCUGGGCAGCCCGUUCCGUGCCCACCGCCCUCUGGUGCAGCCCCCUUCCCUAACCCCCAGCUGCCCCUCCCCUGACAGCUCCACGUCGUUCCCUCGAUAAAGCAGCGAUCCGAAUGCUGCUGUUGAACGCAAGGAACACCCACGAAACCUGUUCCCGACAGAUUCGAGGGCACGACGUUUGUGAGGCAGGCAGCUCACCACAGCCAGUGCGGAGGGUCUCCAUCCCGGCGGGCCCACAGCCCCGCGGGAGCGUUGGGUGCAGCAGGCGGGGUUCAGCUUCCAGGUUCAGCGUAGACUGCCGGGACUCCUGAAAGCGGCAGCAGCUGAAGCAGCUCUGGGGCUGGAGAGCGGCAGGGAAAACACGACGUACGCUUGCGGAGUUCUCCCUUGUUUCCCCGGUACCUGCGCGGUUACUUUUGGAAACAAGUCGUAGCUUAAAAAGGCUUACGGCAACCGCACGCGUGUUCCAUCGAACUUUUAUUCCCUCCAGUUCCGCAGUUCAGCAAUUCCAGAGCG
ensembl:lncRNA